rnacentral:rRNA from 1 species
GGACCCGCACAAGCAGUGGAGCAUGUGGUUUAAUUCGAUGAUACGCGAGGAACCUUACCAGGGCUUAAAUGUAGAACGACCGAUUUGGAAACAAGUCUUCUCUUUGAGCGGUCUACAAGGUGCUGCAUGGUUGUCGUCAGCUCGUGCCGUGAGGUGUCGGGUUAAGUCCCCUUAACGAGCGCAACCCCCUAUCUCUAGUUGCCAGCGGAUAAUGCCGGGGACUCUAGAGAAACUGCCCGUGCAAACGGUGAGGAAGGUGGGAUGACGUCAAAUCAUCACGGCCCUUACGUCCUGGGCUACACACGUGCUACAAUGGUCGGUACAGAGGGCAGCUACCACGUGAGUGGAUGCAAAUCUCGAAAGCCGAUCUCAGUUCGGAUUGAAGUCUGCAACUCGACUUCAUGAAGCUGGAAUCGCUAG